ACUUUGUACUUCUUGGCAAAAGUCCUUGUGUUUACUGGAUACGCACGGCUUUUUUCUACACCAGCAUGCUCCAUGCUCUGGGCCAGGACCUUCUGGGGCACCCAGGCCGAGGUUCCCAGAGGCUUAAGGACAGGCUGUGGGACAUGUGGACGUCUGGGCUGAUGGCAAGUCACCUCCCCAAGGAUGCCUUCCAUGCUCCCCGUCUCUGUCCUGCCGUCCUCCCUCCUGGCAGCUGUCUCUCUGCCUGAUUUUCUCCUGUCGGUGAGAAUACAAGCACCUUGAGAAUAA